rnacentral:rRNA from 1 species
AAGGUGAUGCCUGCCCGGUGACCAGAUGUUCAACGGCCGCGGUAUCCUGACCGUGCAAAGGUAGCGCAAUCAAUUGUCCCGUAAAUCGGGACUAGUAUGAAUGGCUAAACGAGGUCUUAACUGUCUCUUGCAGGCAAUCGGUGAAAUUGAUCCCCCUGUACAAAAGCAGGGAUGUCCACAUAAGACGAGAAGACCCUGUGGAACUUCAAAAUCAGCGACCACCCUGAAUUACAUGCAAACCCAACCCGGGCUUACUUACUCACAGGCCACUGGUCCGCAUUUUUCGGUUGGGGCGACCUUGGAGCAAAACAAAACCUCCAAAUAUUAGACCACACCUCUAAACUGAGAGCAACCCCUCAACGUGCGAAUAGCAACCAGACCCAAUAUAAUUGACCAAUGGACCAAGCUACCCCAGGGAUAACAGCGCAAUCUCCUCCAAGAGUCCAUAUCGACGAGGAGGUUUACGACCUCGAUGUUGGAUCAGGACAUCCUAGCGGUGCAGCCGCUGCUAAGGGUUCG